CAUAAGAGUGUGGCUAUAUUUAGUUUUUUGCUUACUGCUCAAGUGUGGAACCCAAGUUCCUGUACCAAUGAACCCAUAAAUACAAUUGGUCUGAGUGAAUACAAUCAUUCUAUUAUGGAUAGUUAUAUCUGGUUAAUAAUUAUGGGUUAGUGGCACCAACAGUGUUCGGUUAGUCAAGAAUUAAGCCAACAAACAGUACAUAAAAAUGUUAACCAGAGUUUAACUCUGUAAAUGGGUUAUCAUCGGGCUGAUGCAUCUUAUUAUGGAAACUGCAACUCUGAGUUCAACCUGUACGAUGCACUAUCAUCCAAUGUAUAUUUUUCUGUGUUUGUAUUCUGCUUCGAUGAGAAGAUGGGAGCCCACCUGCAUAAAUUAAAAAAAAAAAAAAAAAC